rnacentral:lncRNA from 1 species
UGAAACUCCACAAGGGUAUCCCACAAAUAAAGUGGAAUACCUAGCCAAUAACCUUUUCCUGGGAUAUGUGAACCUUUACGAAACUCAAAAAAAAGAAACAUGUCAGAACACCAAAUCAGGGUGCAAUCGAAGAUUACACCGGAGAAAUAUCACAACAAUAAAUAGGAUAGGAUGAAUAAUGCAUGGCUAUGAUAAAACAUAAAAAAAAAACAGAAUAGAAAAAUCAGCUAC